ACCUUCUCCCAGAUUUUUGCUGGAACCUAUAGCCGUUUCCAGGAAAAGACUCGAGCAAGGGAGAUUAAGUGCAUGUCGCAAUCAAAGAGAGUUUUGGCAGAUUUGACCAUUGCUAUUUGAGGCUUCAUCGACACUU
rnacentral:snoRNA from 1 species